CCAUGGGGGUAUUAUUGGUCGGGUGAGUGAGUGUGACAGUCAGGGAGAGUCUACUUUCUAUGGUUCCUUGACUUCCGAGUCUUUCACUGAGGGAAACAUGACUAUUAUGAUGAAUUGGAAUAUUUCUGAGUAUCUGCCAGAGAGAAGUCGACGAAUGUUUAAUAAUGUGCUCGUUGAGUAUUUAGUAAGCUCAGAGAGGUGUUGGAAGCUCAAUUCGGGGAAAAUAUG